rnacentral:misc_RNA from 1 species
UCCGGUUUGACACCGGCAGUCUCGCUAGAGUCCUCAGCAUUACCUGUUAGCAACUAGCGACAAGGGUUGCGCUCGUUAAGGGACUUAACCCGACACUUCACAGCACGAGCUGACGACAGCCAUGCAGCACCUGUGCUUGUUCCGCCCUUGCGGGUGUGGCUCCACUUUCAUGGAGUUAAUACAAGCAUGUCAAACCCAGGUAAGGUUCUUCGCGUUGCUUCGAAUUAAACCACACGCUCCGCUGCUUGUGCGGGCCCCCGUCAAUUCCUUUGAGUUUUAGCCUUGCGGCCGUACUCCCCAGGCGGAGUGCUUAACGCGUUAGCUACGACGCCUCCGGGGUCAAUACCGGAAACAUCUAGCACUCAUCGUUUACGGCGUGGACUAC